UCCGUCUCUCGCCCUCGCGCUGGCCUCUGCCCGCGCUCGGCUCCUUUCUCGCCGUGAGGGUGGGCCGGCGCCUGCAUCACCGUGACAUCACCUCCAUUCAGGGGCUUAUCGGGCGCCCGCGGCGCUCCAGGUCCUGGGCAGCCCAGGAGGAAUGGAUAGAACUUGUUCCCAGCACAUGAAGAAUUUCCGGUGAGCUGCUGUCACUUACUAGCCAAAUGACUGCGGAGCCUGAGGGACAGGAGAAACCAGAGAAUUGGAGAGCAGUAUAUUCAGACCUGACAAUCACAGAAGACCACACAGAUUCCCACUUCACCUUAGCUCUUUGACCUUGAUGAAAAACAUGUUUCCAAUGGACACAGAGCUCCUGAAACACUUUUAAUUUCCUAAGUGAUAGGAGUAUCUUUUGUGAUUCAUAACAAGCCCUUUGGAACACAACUGAGUUGGUGCUGAUGAGGUGACCUAGGGUGGGAUCCCUACAUAGCCUCUGGAUGGGGCUGGUCACCAGGAAGACCAAGCGAGUAGAAGGUUGCAGCUUUCAGCUCCAUCUACCACUGGGGAGCAGAGCUGGAGAUAAGCUGCAGAAAAACUCUUGAACAACAAACUUGAUGAGCUUCUGGAGUGGUGCCUUCACGUGCCAGGAGGACGGUGCACCCCAGAUCCACAGGGAUAGAAGCUCCUGAGCUUGGCACCCUUCGGGACUUCACCCUAUGUACUUCUUCACCUAGUGGUUCAUUUGUAUCCUUUAUAAUGUCUUUUGUA